rnacentral:misc_RNA from 1 species
AGCUUGCCAAGAAGAGGGCUUUUGAAGGCUAUUGGAUUCAAUACCGUCCUAUUAUGUGUUAGUCCUGUUUUUGCUGCUCCAAUGCCAGAGGUGAAGGAACCUCAAGUUUUCGAUAUUAUUGAAGGAGAAGGUCAAAAAGCUCAAGAAGGAGAUCUUGUUGAAGUAAAUUAUGUAUGCCGCCGCUCAAAUGGAUAUUUUGUCCACAGCACGGUGGAUCAAUUCAGUGGAGAAAGCUCACCUGUCAUACUUCCUUUGGAUGAGAAUCAGAUUAUCAAGGGCUUGAAGGAGGUUCUAAUUGGCAUGAAGGUUGGAGGGAAGAGAAGAGCAUUGAUUCCACCUUCUGUAGGGUACAUAAAUGAAAACUUGAAGCCAGUCCCUGAAGAGUUUGGUCCUCGUCGAAGCCUUUUCUCUCAUGCAAAUGAGCCUUUAAUAUUUGAGGUGCAGCUCUUAAAAGUCCUAUGAGUUUUUCUUUGUUUUACAUACCUUGUAAUGAAAUUAGAAUUAUUUUUAUUUUUAUAUCUUUA